AUAACUUCUAAAAACACAUACAAACCGACAAAAAUAAGGGUGGAUUGGUGAAAAUCUCUGUAUGAUAACUGUAUAACACACUAAAAGAAGUGUACUGAAAAAAGAAAAGUAUUAGUCCAGUAAUAAUUCUUCUCUUUGCUGUGUUAAAAAUCUUGUAUAGGAAACAUCGCAGCUCACAAUUGUCAUCAUCUAUAUCAAGGUUCACACUUUGGACACUGGCACAGAGGGUGGCACAGUUCCGUCUUUUCAGGCAAUUCAGCUUUCUCUUCAUCCUCCGGCUCUUCAUCUAACCACUCCAACAGUGCAACAGCAGCAGCUACAGAAACAGAAAAGAGAGGUAAUAAAGAGACCACAAUCUCAAAAUACAGGUAUAUUGAGACAAGACACUCACCGUGAAACCCUGAUAGCCCUUCUGGCAGCUGAGGUGCAGAGGUGUGAGGCCAUGGUAGUCUGUGGCAUUCACUGAAGCUCCCUUUGACACCAGCAGGUCAACCAGCAGAGACUGACCUAUUCAUCCGCACACACAUUCUACACGUCAACUAAAAAGGUCUAGCCACAGAGGUUUAUAUGCAUGUGUAAAAGACUGAGAAACAAAUCUAAGAAACUGAAUCACUGAACUUUACUAACUAAUACUUUUUAGAAUUAGGAGUCAGACUUGUUUACAGAAUGUACUAUUUCACACUUAAAAUAUGACAGUAACUUAAAGCAUAUGAGAAGGCAGCUACCGCAUAUAGCAGCAACAUGAAGAGGAGUGUAGCCUCGGUCAUCCCGGGAACAUGGAGUGACUAUAGAUGGGUCAUUUAAUCUCCUGGGAAUUAAAAGAAAGAAAGAAAGAAAAAUUAAUACAUUUUUUAUAAUUAGUACUCAUCACUGACUGAGAAUGGGUGCUUCAACCAAGAUUUAACAAUAUUUUUAAAAAUUUGAAUAGUAUAUACCACAAUAUGCACACUUUUAAAGGAAAUGCCAUCUAAAAAGAAGUGAAAGACUUAAAGUUAAACCAAGCCAGUUUUGACAAAUUUAAAUCAAACACAAACCAGAAAAUAAAAAUGCAUGAAAAAAAAAAAACUGUAUCGUGAACAACUGGGGUGCUGUGCCACAACUCAGUUGAGCUAUUGUUCUUAAUAUCGUAUUAGAAAUAUAAAUCUCUCCAAACUAUUCCCUAGUUUUGUGAAAAAGUGUUUAGAUCAGUGGUACUUUUUUUUAUUUUGCUCACGUAAAUAUGUACAGAAAAAUGUAUGUUGCCACAUUUGUUUACUGUGGUCUUCAUUAAAUGUUUCAUGAUGAUAAUGAUAAAGUGUGUGUGUGUGUGUGUGUGUAGGACAGAGAAUAAGAAGCAAAGAGUUAGAGUCUAACCCUGAC